UACGUAGGGUGCGAGCGUUGUCCGGAAUUAUUGGGCGUAAAGGGCUCGUAGGCGGUUUGUCGCGUCGGGAGUGAAAACUCAGGGCUUAACCCUGAGCCUGCUUCCGAUACGGGCAGACUAGAGGUAUGCAGGGGAGAACGGAAUUCCUGGUGUAGCGGUGAAAUGCGCAGAUAUCAGGAGGAACACCGGUGGCGAAGGCGGUUCUCUGGGCCGUAACUGACGCUGAGGAGCGAAAGCAUGGGGAGCGAACAGG
rnacentral:rRNA from 1 species